UAAGAACUGAAUUCUGUAGGCUG
rnacentral:miRNA from 1 species